rnacentral:rRNA from 1 species
CCCACUAUGCUCAACCGUAAACACAGAUGGGACCACCACACCCCUAUCCGCCAGAGAAUUACAAGGAAAAACCUCAAAACUCAAAGGACUUGACGGUGUCCCAAACCAACCUAGAGGAGCCUGUCCUAUAAUCGAUACUCCACGCUACACCUCACCCCCCCUUGCAACCCAGUCUGUAUACCGCCGUCUCACAGUUCGCCUUGUGACAGACCAACAGCGAGCACGCCAGUCCACCACUAAAACGACAGGUCAAGGUGCAGCCAAUGAGGGGGCAGCGAUGGGCUACAUUUUCUGAUAAACAGAAUAUCACCACCCGCCAAAUGAAACAUAGGCCCAAAGGCGGAUUUAGCAGUAAGCCAAAAAAGAAAAUCUGACUGAAGCAUGCUCUGGGACGCGUACAC